rnacentral:rRNA from 1 species
UACGUAGGUGGCAAGCGUUGUCCGGAUUUACUGGGCGUAAAGAGCGCGCAGGCGGUCGAUUUAGUCGCGUGUGAAAGCCCCCGGCUCAACUGGGGAGGGUCACGCGAUACUGAUCGACUCGAAGGCAGGAGAGGGUAGUGGAAUUCCCGGUGUAGUGGUGAAAUGCGUAGAUAUCGGGAGGAACACCAGUGGCGAAGGCGACUACCUGGCCUGUUCUUGACGCUGAGGCGCGAAAGCUAGGGGAGCGAACAGG